rnacentral:rRNA from 1 species
GCCCGAACCAGUACACCUUGCGAAGUGUUUGGAUGAGCUGUGGAUAGUGGUGAAAUGCUAAUCGAACUCGGAAAUAGCUGGUUCUCCUCGAAAUAUAUUUAGGUAUAGCCUCUGCCCAAUAACACGAGAGGUAGAGCACUGGAUGGGUUCUGGCGGCUUCGGCCGUCGGCCCCAAAUAAACUCCGAAUUCUCGUGUUUUUAGCAGGGAGUCAGACUGUGGGGGUUAAGCUCCAUGGUCAAAAGGGAAACAGCCCGGACCAUAGUCUAAGGUCCCUAAAUUCUAGCUAAGUGGAAAAGGAAGUGGAAUCUCCUAAACAAUCAGGAGGUUGGCUUAGAAGCAGCCAUCCUUUAAAGAGUGCGUAAUAGCUCACUGAUCUAACAGAGAUUCUGCGCCGAAAAUGUAACGGGGCUCAAGCUAGAUACCGAAGACAUGGGCUCCGUGCUUCGCACUUCUCCUACUAAAUUACGAAUUUCUCUAAAGUACGAAUAAAACAAAUAUUAGUACAUUAGGUAGAUUAGUAUAUUAGUAGUGGCAGUGCGAAGCACGGAGCGGUAGAGGAGCGUUCUUCGUGCGAUGAAGUUUCGCCGUGAGGCGGGAUGGAGUGCGGAGAAGUGAGAAUGUUGGCAUGAGUAACGAAUUAGGCCGACGAGAAAUCGGCCCACCGAAUACCCAAGGUUUCCUGGGCAACGGUAAUCGUCCCAGGGUUAGUCGGUCCUAAGCCGAGGCGUUAAGCGUAGGCGAUGGCCAGCUGGUUCAUAUUCCAGCACUUCGGAUACUUGUCUCUAUGUGCGCACUUCAACGAUUUGCAGGAAGCUAUGGUUAAUUUCUGUAAGGCAUAGUAGUGACGAGAAAAGCAUAGAAACUUAUGGUAUCCGGAACCGUACCGCAAACCGACUCAGGUAGGUGAGGCGAGAAGCCUCAGGUGAUCGGAAGAACCCUCGUUAAGGAACUCGGCAAAUAAGCGUCCGUAACUUAGGGAUAAGGACUGGCCGAUGCAAAUCGGCCCGCAGCGAAAGAGCCCAGGCGACUGUUUACCAAAAACACAGGUCUCUGCUAAAGCGAAAGCUGAAGUAUAGGGACUGACGCCUGCCCAAUGCUCGAAGGUCAAAUCUGCUGGUGAUCCCCCGAUUCGUCGGGGAUGAGCCGGCAGGCUAAGCCCGAGUGAAUGGCGGCCGUAACUAUAACGGUCCUAUGGUAGGAAAGCUGCCAUAGUGAGGUGGAAGACCUCCAUCUGAACUCCCGACGCCGGGAGACGUAAGAUGAAAACUUGGCUAU